UCUGGAAGAGAAGUGGGGUCUCUAGAUCCCUGGGUGGACAGAGAAGCGGGUACAGGGGUACAGAGCCCCUGGGAACCGCGGGUGGGAGAAGAGUCCCUUUUCUCUAGGAGCUACCAUCGAGGUGGCGAGGCGAACCAACAAGGAGAGCAGCGAUAACAGAGCCACGGGAAUACCGGCUGAGGAUGCCUUAAGGAGAAGCACCUGGAGCCAAGACACUGGGGAACAGCUUGUUCCAAUCAGAGACCGGAAGCAGUAUGGCUUACUUCCGGUCUCGGGGAGUAAGUGCUCAUGCUCGGGCCCUCGGGCUCUGCGGCUGCGGGCGGAGCUCCGGGAAGGGCGAGUGGGGCUGGCGCGGCUCCGGCGCCGUCGGCGGUCUCCUGUGGAGCGUGCGCGGCUCUGUCUCCAGGGGCGGCGGCGAAGUCAGCCCUCGCUUUGGCGCCGUCUUCACCGGCCCAGCAGGCGCUCGGCCCUGAGACGCGUUCCUCGUUGCUGAGGGGCCUCCCUGAAUGGCGUGUUCCAUUAUCCGGUGUCUUUGGAGGGUCGUUCCAGGCAGCAGGCGCCAAGCUGAGUGCCCGUCCGUCUCUAAGGUUCCUACUACCUGGAGCACAGCCGUCCUGACACCGACUCUCCCUACGCAGUGGUCAUCAAAUCACGCGCUUGUGGAGGCCGAGUGCUGCGGAGUUACUAGACUACUCUGAGGCCUAGCGAGGAAGCUGUGUGCAGCUGCUCCAGGAGAAGCUCAAACCCCCUGGGGAGCCUCUGCCCAGGUGGAGGAGACUUGCUCAUGCCACGCGCUUUGGGUCACCCCCAGGAGGUGCUCAGGAAACCAGGGGACCACCGCAUGUUGAUUUCCUGAAAGCAAGACUCCACCAGAGAGAUGCCGGUGCUGUUCUCUGCUCGCCUAGCACCUGGUCUACCAGCUGCCUCCCCCAUCGGGCCCAGCGUGGUGGAGACGGAAAGCCUUUCUUGGCAUUAUCUAAUUAUCCAUCAACAGCUUCAACCAUGGGCUUUCUAUCUGGGUUUCAGUCUAGGCUCUCCCCAUGAUUCCGUCCUUGACUUCCUGUAAAUUACUUGCUUUUCUGAGUCUCCAUUUCCACAUCUGUAACUCUGCACUCAUGCAUUGCUGUGAUAAGAAUAAAACACUACUGUUGAAUCCUUACAACAAUCCAAUUAGGCACGCUCUGUUCUUGUUCCCAUUUUAUAGAGUGAGACACUGAGACUUAGAGAGGUUAAGUGCAAGUGCCAGAGGCUCAGUUCAAGUUACCCACACUGGGUGUGUCUGACCUUAGAACCAACACAGUAGGCCACUACAAUGUGCAGGGCAUCCGUUGCUUUUUGAAUAUUCGCUUUGUGCCAUUCCGCUUUUACCUGAGACCUACACUAGUCCCUGUUUCUGCUAACCUAACUAAAAGAAAUCCAAAGAGGAUUUUCACUUUUAUGAAAAAAGCUAACACCGAUGCCUUCAUUUACACACCUGGUUUAAGAAUCAUAGCACUAGUGUACUGUGAGACACAUAUCACAUCUGAUCUGAUCUUGGAUCUUUUAUAAAUAUGUCCCAUUCAUUCGUUCGUUUGUUCCUUCAUUCAGUAUGAUUUAGUAGCCUCCAUUAUACCUCAGGUGCACUCCCAGGAAUGCUUCUGCUACCUAACAACCUUCCUAGGGGCAGGCAACCAUGUGUUGUAGUAAUACAUAUUGGUACUUUUCUGCCCUGACAAUGACAUGAAUACAGAAGAUUCUCAGUAAACAGGGACUGAAAAAUGCUAUGUGUCAAAACUUUGGGGAACACCUAGGAUACACUGACAACGUUUGACAUCACAGUUCAUUUUAACAGCUAACACGAUAUUCAGCGUAAACACCAUGAGGUUGGCAUUUUCUCUCUGAUGCUGGGGAUCUAAAUUUCACUUUCAAUUUAAAAUGAACUUUGUAUCAGAAACCUUCCAUAAUUUCAUAUCCUCUUGUUCCACCAUGACAACUGCACUGAAGCAGUAACUGCAUCUUUAUAAGUCUGUCCGUCCCAUCAUGUUCAGCCCAACACUGGGCUCACAUUUAUGGUCCCAUUCCUUGCUUUGUCUUAUCUAACCAUCUUUUUUCCAAAGUGUGAUGAUCCCAUGUUUCUCAGAUGUAACUCUUCAAAUGACAAUUUCACUACAUUACAGGGGUUUUCUCACGACACCAGAAUUUCAAGAUGAACUAGUCGAACCCCAGGAUUAAGGAUGACCAUCCAUGAGAUAAAUCCUAUUUAAAAAUCUUAUGUUCAGGUUAAAGAUAAAAGGGAGGAUAAAAGCAAGUAUCUUUGUAAGCCUCCUGGGGGCGGGCAUUCCCCUGCCCUCUGCUGCCGCUGGGCUGUGCUUGCUGAUACAGGACGCCGGCAGGUGCUUGGAGUAAUUCAGCAGAAAAAGAGACCCACACGGAUGGCGCUGGAAGCUGCCUGAGUGGACAGCAGAUCUCACAACUCAGUUGUCGAUGCCACCUACAGAGCUGUCAAAAUACAAUUACGUGAACCGCAAAGGGGGCUUGAAUAAGCCAAUAGACUUAAGCGUGUGUCAAUUACACACGAGAGCGAGUCCCCAUUCCCUGCUUCAUCCCCCAGUGCUGGGCAAGCACUGAAGGUGGCUGACUUCAUGAAAGGAAGUAAGAAAUAAAACCACGAGAAACCUGU